AGUAACUGGCCUGGUGAGUUUUUCUAGGUUAGGUAAUAAUCAUUUUCUCUUCUUCUCAAAGGGAAUUUUAGGUACUAUUAUUGUCCUCUGCCUGUCUUAGUGACAGGGAGACUUUUGGAGUUUGGUGCCUUGAGAGGAGAGUGCUCUCGUGGGCUGUUUCAGAAUAGAUUUUGGAACUUGUUGCAGAGUAGCUGGUUAGAUACAGUAUGUGUCUUGGGGAAAACCUGUGCAAACAUACUAACACUUGGGACUAAAGGAAACCCCAUGGGAGGAAUGAGACCAGGUUCAAUGCUGGAAAUUUCAUACAGCUUCAGAGCAAUCCUUGGCAGUUGCCUGGUCUGGUAACCCAGAUUAUUCCCUGACACUUCCCAAAUUGUGGACAGAAAAACCAAGGUGAAAACUUCAAUCAUGCCCCCAAAGAGCUAUCCAGAUAUGCCAUGAACUAUAUCAUUAUUAAUAAUCACUGUUGCCUGACUUAUACCCACUAUGUGAC
rnacentral:lncRNA from 1 species